rnacentral:rRNA from 1 species
UAUCCUACGGGAGGCAGCAGUGAGGAAUAUUGGUCAAUGGCCGGAAGGCUGAACCAGCCAAGCCGCGUGAAGGACGAAGGUGCCAAGCAUUGUAAACUUCUUUUGUCAAGGGACAAAAUCAGGCUCGAGAGCCUGACCGAGGGUACUUGAAGAAAAAGCAUCGGCUAACUCCGUGCCAGCAGCCGCGGUAAUACGGAGGAUGCGAGCGUUAUCCGGAUUUAUUGGGUUUAAAGGGAGCGUAGGCCGCAUGUCAAGCGUGCUGUGAAAUGUCCGGGCUCAACCCGGGCCUUGCAGCGCGAACUGGC